CUGAAACAGGUUCUUGAAAGGAUUGCGACGUGGUGGACAAGGAGGUGCCGGACGCGGCAGUCGAGCCUCUUGUCCAGGGAGUCCCGGUGACAACCCCGGCUCCCAGGUUAGGUCUCAUUCUGUUUGUGUGGAGCAAAUGGUGAGUGGGACAGCGAGAGUGAGAAGUGUCUUCCUUGUUCAGUGUCUGUUGUUCAGUAGCUGUCAAAAUUUAUCAUGGACAGUUCGAAUUCAAAAUCCAUGGCCAGGGAUUUAGCUCAGUGGUUCUGCUGCCUGCCUCACAAGAGCAAGGACCCAAGUUCGAUCCCUGGUACCUCCCCAAAAUCCAUUAGUCCUCUUCAGUGUAUUUUGGCCCAUUUCAGACAGGUUUACUCUAAUGUAAAGGAAGAUAAAUAUGGAGUGAGGUUUUCUAAGGGAAAACUCUACACCCUUUGUAAAUUAAAACAUUUGGAACCACAUCCCCUUGGCCUGUAGAAGGGUCCUUUGUGCCCUCUCAGGUCAGGGAGGUCUGGAAAGUAGUCACAGGAAAGCCCAGACACCCAGACCAAUUCCCUUACAUAGAUGUUUGGAUGGAUUUGGUAGAGGACCCUCCUAAAUGGGUCACACAAUGUGGACUACAAUGGAAAUGCACUGUUUUAACCAACAGAAAAGUGCCUCCGGGCAGAUUUGAAACUAACCAGAAGCCUAAGAUUUUUCCAGGUGACCCAGAGGAUGACUCACUGCCACCCUACGCCACUGCCCCUGCAGCUGCAAUCUAGCCCCUGUUCCUCAUCUUUUUCUCCCUGCAACCCUUUUUCUCCCCCACACACUCGUUCAGGUCAACCCUUUGGGGCCCCACCGGGGUCCUCCCUCGUGGAAACAGGAGAAAUGACUUCCCUUCUUUGAGCCCCAUUGGCGGGGCCAGCUCCAUCCUCUGUUGUGGUUAACAUGCCUGACUCCAUGUUGGUCCUACCUCUGAGAGAGGUAGCCCCUGGUCAGGACAUGGUUUAUAUCCCUUUCACUACUUCUGACCUCUCCCUCAUUGAUCUCCUUGGUUCAGUUUUUCAAACUCAUCUCCCUACUUGGGACUAUUGUCAACAACUGUUACAGGUUCUCUUCACCACCUAGGAACGAGACCGGAUCCUCCAAGAAGCCGCCACGGUGGUUUUAGGGCCAGGGGCAGGGAUUGACCCCAACCAGCAGGCCAGGUUAUGAGAAAUCCUGCCUUGGAAAAGGCCUGACUUGGGGCCCAAACACUGAGCAAGGAUUUGCCAGAAGAGGCGAUGGCUAAAAAGCUUGGAAAAGUCACUAUCGUGGCCUUGGACGCCAGAGACCAACAGCAACCUCGAGGGAGAGGCAGAACCCCAAACCAAGGUCAAGCCCUACAACAGGUACAACAGGAAACCAGGGAACCUCUCCUGGCUGCCACCCCACCACCACAGCCAUUCAAGCCCCAUCAGUUCCAGCCCGGAGACCUCAUUCUGUUUCAGAGAUAUAGGCCAGAAACAUUGAAACCAACGUGAAAAGGACCCUACCCAGUAGUGUUGAUGACCCCAUCUGCCCUCAAGGUAACAGGAAUAACUCCGUGGAUGCAUCACAGCCACGUCAAAGCUGCCCCUCCAAAGGACGACCUCACAGAAAAGCAAUAGAAGGUCGUCGGCAGACCAGGAGAAACAAAGAUAAGACUGAAAAAGGACAAAUAAUUUACAUGAUCUGGGUUGGAAACAAAACCAUACUUGUGCUAAUUCUGUGGCUAAUAAGGUUUCAGAAAAGUGAUGCUAGCAACCCCUAUGCACCACAAACAGAAAUUUGGGAACUCAGAAUGGCUAACAGCGCAGGGUGGUAAGCCAAAUCAACAAGAGUCCUGAUACCAGCCAAGUUAAAUUCAAUUUAAGUCUGUACAGUAUGUUUUCGGAAACAUGGAGUCUAGCUAGAGGAAUAGGAGGAUGCCAAAUUAUGAGUUGGACAAAACCACAUCCCAUUCACUUCUAUGUUUGUCCGGCAGAAGGUGGUUCUGAGUGGCGGG